UUCAUCCUCUAGCAAAAAGAGGACAUGUGGCCUAACGCGUAACUUAGAUUUACUUAGUAUGAAACCCGGGGAAAAAAAAACUACACGAUUCAAUACCAGAGGGCAAGUUGUUUAUGAUGGAAAAGGGGAAAGAUUGUCAAGCUAUAUGGGAACAUUGGUGCGAUCUCAAUACAAUGUACCCAUCCAAGUUCAAGAUUGGAAUCAUGUUAGUGAAGAUGUGAAGGAAAAGAUUUGGGCCUUAGUAUUGGAAAAAUAUGAACUAGAAGAAACAUGUAAGAGCUACAUUCUUCAAUGUUGUGGAAAUUUGUUUAGAAGCUAUAGAAAUAAAAUGAAGGCCAAGUAUUAUAACCCUUAUAAUACAAAUGAGAAGAGAUUAUGCCAUCGACCUCCACACUUAUCAGAUGAUGAUUGGAGGUGGCUCAUCCACUUUUGGGGUACACCUGAGGCCAAGGAUAUCUCAAACAAAAACAAGGCAAAUAGGGCAAAGCAAGUGAUAAAGCAUACAUCGGGAUAAAAAAUUUAUGCUCAAAUUCGAUAUGAACAGGUUGAAAAUUUAUUAUUAAUAUGAUUUGUUUGUACAUAAAUAAUUCAUCAUAAAUAACUCUAUUGCUUUACUUGUAAGAAUAAGCACAAAAGAAGGAGGAUCGAAGUGAGCCCAAUAGAAUUGAGAUGUUUGACUUGACACACACAAGAAAAGAUGGGACGCCUGUUGAUGAUCAUUCUAAGGAGAUUAUGGAUCAAUUUCAGCAAUUACUAUCCCAACCUAAGGGGACAUCUUCUUCUACUUCUGCAUCAUCUAGAGCAUCUACAUCUGUAGCAUUUACAUAUGUAGAUGAGAUAUAUACUUAAGUCAUGGGUCUAGAGAGGCAUGGUCGUGUUUAAGGGUAUGGAUUUGGUCCUACUCCUACCUCAAUCUUUGGUUCUACUAGUAGAAGGCGAUUAGAGUUAUUCUUUCAACACAAAUUGAAAACGCCCAAGAGAUGCUAAUAGCUCCAAAACAAAAGUUUACAACUGCAACUAAAGAACUCUCAAAUGUGAAAGAGGAACUCUCACAUGUGAAAGAAACAUUUGAAGAAAGGUUGAUAGAAGUUCAAAUGAAGACAUGAGAAGAAGUGAAAGAAGAGUUUGAAGAAAAAAUGAUGGAAAUGCAAAGAAAAAUGCAAGCACAAAU